UACGUAGGGUCCGAGCGUUGUCCGGAAUUACUGGGCGUAAAGAGCUCGUAGGUGGUUUGUCGCGUUGUUCGUGAAAACUCACAGCUCAACUGUGGGCGUGCGGGCGAUACGGGCAGACUUGAGUACUGCAGGGGAGACUGGAAUUCCUGGUGUAGCGGUGGAAUGCGCAGAUAUCAGGAGGAACACCGGUGGCGAAGGCGGGUCUCUGGGCAGUAACUGACGCUGAGGCACGAAAGCGUGGGGAGCGAACAGG
rnacentral:rRNA from 1 species